rnacentral:rRNA from 1 species
UGGACAACAGGUUGAUAUUCCUGUACCAGUUGCUUUUGUUUGAGCGAUGGAGGGACGCAGGAGGCUAAGGAAUGCACACGAUCGGAAAUGUGUGUCCAAGCAGCAAGUCUGAGAACGAGUGAAAUGCUUUUUCUCUCAAGGACAAGCUGUGAUGGGGAGCGAAAUUUAGUAGCGAAGUUCCUGAUGUCACACUGCCAAGAAAAGCUUCUAGUGAGAAAGUAACUGCCCGUACCGCAAACCGACACAGGUAGUUGAGGAGAGAAUCCUAAGGUGUGCGAGAGAACUCUCGUUAAGGAACUCGGCAAAAUGACCCCGUAACUUCGGGAGAAGGGGUGCUGACCGCAAGGUCAGCCGCAGUGAAUAGGCCCAAGCGACUGUUUAUCAAAAACACAGGUCUCUGCAAAAUCGAAAGAUGACGUAUAGGGGCUGACGCCUGCCCGGUGCUGGAAGGUUAAGAGGAGAGGUUAGCGCAAGCGAAGCUUUGAAUUGAAGCCCCAGUAAACGGCGGCCGUAACGAUAACGGUCCUAGGUAGCGAAAUUCCUUGUCGGGUAAGUUCCGACCCGCACGAAAGGCGUAACGAUUUGGGCACUGUCUCAACGAGAGACUCGGUGAAAUUAUAGUACCAGUGAAGAUGCUGGUUACCCGCGACAGGACGGAAAGACCCCAUGGAGCUUUACUGCAGUUUGAUAUUGCGUGUUUGUAUCACAUGUACAGGAUAGGUAGGAGCCGAAGAUACCGGGACGCCAGUCUCGGAGGAGGCAACGGUGGGAUACUACCCUUGUGAUAUGACCACUCUAACCCGCUGCUCUUAGCGAGCAGGGAGACAGUGUCAGACGGGCAGUUUGACUGGGGCGGUCGCCUCCAAAAAUGUAACGGAGGCGCCCAAAGGUUCCCUCAGAAUGGUUGGAAAUCAUUCGUAGAGUGUAAAGGCAGAAGGGAGCUUGACUGCGAGACCUACAAGUCGAGCAGGGACGAAAGUCGGGCUUAGUGAUCCGGUGGUUCCGCAUGGAAGGGCCAUCGCUCAACGGAUAAAAGCUACCCUGGGGAUAACAGGCUUAUCUCCCCCAAGAGUUCACAUCGACGGGGAGGUUUGGCACCUCGAUGUCGGCUCAUCGCAUCCUGGGGCUGUAGUCGGUCCCAAGGGUUGGGCUGUUCGCCCAUUAAAGCGGUACGCGAGCUGGGUUCAGAACGUCGUGAGACAGUUCGGUCCCUAUCCGUCGCGGGCGUUGGAAAUUUGAGAGGAGCUGUCCUUAGUACGAGAGGACCGGGAUGGACACACCGCUGGUGUACCAGUUGUUCUGCCAAGAGCAUCGCUGGGUAGCUAUGUGUGGACGGGAUAAACGCUGAAAGCAUCUAAGCGUGAAGCCCCCCUCAAGAUGAGAUUUCCCAUCACUUUAAGUGAGUAAGACCCCUGAGAGAUGAUCAGGUAGAUAGGUUGGGAGUGGAAGUACAGUGAUGUAUGGAGCGGACCAAUACUAAUCGGUCGAGGACUUAACU